rnacentral:rRNA from 1 species
UACGUAGGGUGCUAGCGUUGUUCGGAAUCAUUGGGCGUAAAGCGCGUGUAGGCGGUUAUUUAAGUCGGGUGUGAAAUCCCAGGGCUCAACCGAGGAAGUGCAUCCGAAACUAACUAGCUAGAGAAUGGUAGAGGAAGGUGGAAUUCCGUGUGUAGAGGUGAAAUUCGUAGAUAUACGGAGGAAUACCGGUGGCGAAGGCGGCCUUCUGGACCAUUUCUGACGCUGAGACGCGAAAGCGUGGGGAGCAAACAGG